UUGUCAAGGCUGUCUUGAAGAUAUCGUGAUUCUCUAGUGUUUAAUUAUUUGUUUGACUUCAGUGUUUUUGGGUUUGUUUUUUUUAACACCUGUGCUCAGAACCUCAGAUCUCAGCCUCCACCUCCGGUUCCUGUUCUUCAUCAUCAUCAUCACUCACCUUUGGCGGCGUUGUCUUUAUCAUCUUUGCCUUUCGUUUUCCCGCUCAUGGAGCAAUGACCGCUACAACAGCUGCUGCUGCUGCUGCUGCUGCUGGAAACCAAAGUUCAGCUGGAGAAGAUGCAGACCCUGCCAGCGGGAGCGCGCAAAAGAGUGCACGUUGAGACGAAGAGGAAAUGACACACAAGGCAAUAAACUCAAUUUUCUUUGACGCACAGAUGAUCUGAAGUAACAAGGUUAUCCUUUCACUAUUUAUACCACAUAUCAUUUUAUUGUCUGCUUAAUUUGUGUAUAAUUUAGUCUGUUUUGUUAUUUUUAGCUGAUUCUUUGGAAUCUGAACUGAUUGGAAUCUGAUUUCUAUUCAGUUUUUGGUAUUUUAAGUCUGCAGUUUGUCAUGUUUUGCAUUUAGAUCAGUUUUUUUUCUGUGAAACACUUUGAGGGGCUUUAUUUUGUCUAUAAAAUGGUGCAUAAACGACUUUACUUGAUUGAUUCUCUGUUAAACUGCAUAUCAGUGUCCAUUUUCAAAUUCACUCCUGCUUUAUUGAUGAGUUAUGAGUU